rnacentral:rRNA from 1 species
UACGUAGGGGGCAAGCGUUGUCCGGAAUCAUUGGGCGUAAAGCGCGUGUAGGCGGGCAGGUAAGUCCGUGGUGAAAUCUCUGAGCUUAACUCAGAAACUGCCAUGGAUACUAUUUGUCUUGAAUAUUGUGGAGGUAAGCGGAAUAUGUCAUGUAGCGGUGAAAUGCUUAGAUAUGACAUAGAACACCAAUUGCGAAGGCAGCUUACUACACAGUUAUUGACGCUGAGGCACGAAAGCGUGGGGAUCAAACAGG